AACCAUUGUGAACGUUACCUUCAAACCGUUGCUUCGGCGGGCGGCCCGGGUCCGCCCGGUGCCCCCUGGCCCCCUCGCGGGGCGCCCGCCGGAGGAAACCCAACUCUUGAUACAUUAUGGCCUCUCUGAGUCUUCUGUACUGAAUAAGUCAAAACUUUCAACAACGGAUCUCUUGGUUCUGGCAUCGAUGAAGAACGCAGCGAAAUGCGAUAAGUAAUGUGAAUUGCAGAAUUCAGUGAAUCAUCGAAUCUUUGAACGCACAUUGCGCCCGCCAGUAUUCUGGCGGGCAUGCCUGUUCGAGCGUCAUUUCAACCAUCAAGCCCCAGGCUUGUGUUGGGGACCUGCGGCUGCCGCAGGCCCUGAAAACCAGUGGCGGGCUCGCUGUCACACCGGGCGUAGUAGAUUUUAUCUCGCUCAGGGCGUGCUGCGGGUUCCGGCCGUUAAAAAGCCUUUUUUACCCAAGGUUGACCUCGGAUCAGGUAGGAAGACCCGCUGAACUUAAGCAUAUCAAUAA
rnacentral:rRNA from 1 species